GAUUUUUUCAUCGGCAAACAUUCCCUUAAAUCUGGAGAGAAGUUGUUCAGGGCUCAAAUUGCUAAAUCCAGAAAAUUCAGAACUAUAUUCAUUUUCGAUCUGCUCAGUAAUACGAAUAACCGCUAAAAGCAACGAGUUUACAUUAAGGAAGGUUUCAACAGAUACCUUAGAACAGGUUCUUUGGAAAAGGUUCCAAGAGAUAAUAAUGAGGAUCGAUCGUCAUGUACGUGUGAUUGACAGCAAGGCAAUUCAACCACUCCAUGGGGACAAGAUGAGAGCCUUACAGAAGCCCUAGUUAAGGGAAUGCACUUUUUAACCAAUCAGCAAACACCACAGAACGAACUGUACUUUAAAUAUUUUUAUGUUGAAUUUCUUUAGAAGUAGUUCCUCUCAGAUGAACCUGAACGCUGUCAAAUUUCAUUUACUCAAUGUUCUUCAAACUGGGUCGAGCUGACAGGUGCAAAAAAAAUCCACCAAACUUGUCUUUUCCUUCCGCUACAUACUCUUGGGAAAGUGAUUUGUUCCUAACUGCCUAAUCCUUUAAUAAUAAUUAAUUUAAUUUAAUUUUAUAAUUUUAUAAUAAUACUGUAUUAUCACUUGAUUAGAUAUGACUUACUAUUUAUAGAGGUUAACUUUAAAAAGUUGAAUAAAUUUAGAUCAACUACCUCAAUAUCAAUUCUACCUUGGAGAGUAACGUCCUUAAACAGUGGCGCCUGUAUUUUGUAAAUUAGGUAAUAUGUUCUUAUACAUCCUGGCAAUGAGUAGUGUUGAUUAAAGAGAUCAACAUAUAGACCUUACAUUACGGGUUUUCAAAAUAGUCAUUUUCCCAUUAGUGUAAAAUACGAUUAAAUCUAUUUCAGACCCUUUCUUUUAACAGGGGGUGGGGAUAUAUUUAGACCAUAUUUCAAGAAUAUACAGUACAUAUAAUUUUUCUGAUUGUUAGGGAGAUUUUCCCUGUGCAACAUGCCCCCAUGUAAUUACCUCCAUGCACCCAUCUGUGCAACAGUCAGGGUGAGCUCUGGAUCCGCAUUUGGAAUUAUUUAUUCAGACCAACCAUCACUAAAAAGUACAAGUAUCAAGUAAUAAAAAGAUAAUGAGAGAUUACAAACUCUCAUCCUGUUGUGCCAUAUGUAUGUACUGAAAAUAUAAUGGCCAGUGGUCGCUCUGCUCCAUUCGCCAA